rnacentral:tRNA from 1 species
UGGUGUAUCGCCAAAUCAGGUAAGGCAUUGGUUUUUGACACCAUCACCUAGAGGUUCGAAUCCCCUUACACCAG